CUUGUCCUACGGGGCGCAGCAGUAGGGAAUCUUCCACAAUGGGCGAAAGCCUGAUGGAGCAACGCCGCGUGGGUGAAGAAGGUCUUCGGAUCGUAAAACCCUGUUGUUAGAGAAGAAAGUGCGUGAGAGUAACUGUUCACGUUUCGACGGUAUCUAACCAGAAAGCCACGGCUAACUACGUGCCAGCAGCCGCGGUAAUACGUAGGUGGCAAGCGUUAUCCGGAUUUAUUGGGCGUACAGGGAACGCAGGCGGUCUUUUAAGGCUGAUGUGAAAGCCUUCGGCUUAACCGGAGUGUGGCAUUGGA
rnacentral:rRNA from 1 species